UGGGGAAUAUUGCACAAUGGGGGAAACCCUGAUGCAGCGACGCCGCGUGAGCGAAGAAGUAUUUCGGUAUGUAAAGCUCUAUCAGCAGGGAAGAAAUGACGGUACCUGACUAAGAAGCCCCGGCUAACUACGUGCCAGCAGCCGCGGUAAUACGUAGGGGGCAAGCGUUAUCCGGAUUUUACUGGGUGUAAAGGGAGCGUAGACGGACUGCAAGUCUGAUGUGAAAACCCGGGCUCAACCCGGGACUGCAUUGGAAACUGUCAGUCUAGAGUGUCGGAGGGGUAAGUGGAAUUCCUAGUGUAGCGGUGAAAUGCGUAGAUAUUAGGAGGAACACCAGUGGCGAAGGCGGCCUGCUGGACUGUAACUGACGUUGAGGCUCGAAAAGCGUGGGGAGCAAAACAGGAUUAGAUACCC
rnacentral:rRNA from 1 species